rnacentral:rRNA from 1 species
GGUUGACCUCGGAUCAGGUAGGAAUACCCGCUGAACUUAAGCAUAUCAAUAAGCGGAGGAAAAGAAACCAACAGGGAUUGCCUCAGUAACGGCGAGUGAAGCGGCAACAGCUCAAAUUUGAAAUCUGGCCUUGUGCCCGAGUUGUAAUUUGUAGAGGAUGCUUUCGGCGCGGCGCCUUCCGAGUUCCCUGGAACGGGACGCCACAGAGGGUGAGAGCCCCGUAUGGUCGGAUGCCAAGCCAUUGUAAAGCUCCCUCGACGAGUCGAGUAGUUUGGGAAUGCUGCUCAAAAUGGGAGGUAAAUUUCUUCUAAAGCUAAAUACCGGCCAGAGACCGAUAGCGAAAAAGUAGAGUGAUCGAAAGAUGAAAAGCACUUUGAAAAGAGGGUUAAACAGCACGUGAAAUUGUUGAAAGGGAAGCGCUUGUGACCAGACCUGCGCCCUGGGGAUCAUCCGGCGUUCUCGCCGGUGCACUCCGCUGGGCUGCAGGCCAGCAUCGGUUCUCCUAGGGGGAUAAAAGCUUCGGGAACGUGGCUCCUUAGGGAGUGUUAUAGCCCGUUGCACAAUACCCUUGGGGGGACCGAGGUACGCGCUCCGCAAGGAUGCUGGCGUAAUGGUCAUCAGCGACCCGUCUUGAAACACGGACCAAGGAGUCAAGCAUUAGGGCGAGUGUUUGGGUGCAAAACCCGCACGCGAAAUGAAAGUGAACGUAGGUGAGAGCUUCGGCGCAUCAUCGACCGAUCCUGAUGUUCUCGGAUGGAUUUGAGUAAGAGCCUUACCGCUUGGACCCGAAAGAUGGUGAACUAUGCCUGUAUAGGGUGAAGCCAGAGGAAACUCUGGUGGAGGCUCGCAGCGGUUCUGACGUGCAAAUCGAUCGUCAAAUAUAGGCAUGGGGGCGAAAGACUAAUCGAACUAUCUAGUAGCUGGUUACCGCCGAAGUUUCCCUCAGGAUAGCAGUGUUGUUUUCAGUUUUAUGAGGUAAAGCGAAUGAUUAGGGACUCGGGGGCGCUAUUUUGCCUUCAUCCAUUCUCAAACUUUAAAUAUGUAAGAAGCCCUUGUUACUUUGUUGAACGUGGGCCUUCGAAUGCAGCAACACUAGUGGGCCAUUUUUGGUAAGCAGAACUGGCGAUGCGGGAUGAACCGAACGCGGGGUUAAGGUGCCAGAGUGGACGCUCAUCAGACACCACAAAAGGCGUUAAUACAUCUUGACAGCAGGACGGUGGCCAUGGAAGUCGGAAUCCGCUAAGGACUGUGUAACAACUCACCUGCCGAAUGUAUUAGCCCUGAAAAUGGAUGGCGCUCAAGCGUCCCACCCAUACCCCGCCCUCAGGGUAGAAACGAUGCCCUGAGGAGUAGGCGGCCGCGGGGGCGGUGACGAAGCCCAGGGCGUGAGCCCGGGUCGAACCGCCCCUGGUGCAGAUCUUGGUGGUAGUAGCAAAUACUUCAAUGAGAACUUGAAGGACCGAAGUGGGGAAAGGUUCCAUGUGAACAGCGGUUGGACGUGGGUUAGCCGAUCCUAAGCCAUAGGGAAGUUCCGUUUCAAAGGGGCACUCGUGCCCCGCAUGGCGAAAGGGAAGCAGGUCAAUAUUCCUGCGCCUGGAUGCGGGUUUUUCGCGGCAACGCAACUGAACGCGGAGACGGCGGCGGGGGCCCCGGGCAGAGUUCUCUUUUCUUCUUAACGGUCUACCACCCUGAAAACAGUUUGUCUGGAGAUAGGGUCCCAUGGCCGGAAGAGCCCAGCACCUCUGUUGGGUCCGGUGCGCCCCCGACGUCCCUUGAAAAUCCGCGGGAGGGAAUAAUUCUCGCGCCAGGUCGUACUCAUAACCGCAGCAGGUCUCCAAGGUG